ACACAAAUCACCUGGGGAUCUUCUUAAAAUGCAGAUUCUGACACAGUAGGGCCGAGGUGGGGCCUGAGAAUCUGCAUUUCUAACAAGAUCCCACGAUGACCAU
rnacentral:pre_miRNA from 1 species